CCUCCCCACUCUCCGCCUACGACGCGAAGAUUUUCAACCUUAUUAUUAUCGUGUGUAUGUGUGUAUGUGUUUUGUAUUGUGUUUGCAGAAUGCACAUGAGGAAAGUUGUAAUGUGAUUUAUAUAUUAUAUUUUCUACUAUAUAAUAAGGACGAGCGUGUAAGUAAACGAAAAGUCGAAUAGAGAACAUCGGCACGCGCACGCGCGUAGAAAAUCUCAUUUUCUCUCGAGUAAUUUAUAUAGGUACGUACAUCUCAAGAGCA